CAAUAGCGUAUAUUUAAGUUGUUGCAGUUAAAAAGCUCGUAGUUGGAUUUCGGUUAAGAGCGACCGGUCCGCCGUUUGGUGUGCACUGGUUGGUUUUAACUUCCUGUAGAGGACGUGCUCUGGGUUUAACGGCCUGGACUCGGAGUCUACGUGGUUACUUUGAAAAAAUUAGAGUGUUCAAAGCGGGCUUACGCUUGAAUAUUUCAGCAUGGAAUAACACUAUAGGACUCCUGUCCUAUUUCGUUGGUCUCGGGACGGGAGUAAUGAUUAAGAGGAACAGUUGGGGGCAUUCGUAUUUCAUUGUCAGAGGUGAAAUUCUUGGAUUUAUGAAAGACGAACUUCUGCGAANGNAUUUGCNAAGGAUGUUUNCAUUA
rnacentral:rRNA from 1 species